AUGGGCGCCAAGGACAAGGCGCAGGCCCCGCCCCCCGCCGCCGUGCCGGACCAGGCGUACCUGGAGGCGGUGACGGGGAAGCGUGACCGCCUGUUCGAGCAGAUACUGGACAGGCAGGCCCGCCGGCACGCCGAAAACGGCGGCAGUCCCAUCAAGAUUACUUUGCAUGAUGGCACGGUCCAGGAGGGGAAGAAGUGGAUGUCGACCCCGAUGGACAUCGCCAAGGAGAUAUCAAGCGGGCUAGCAGCUCGCUGUUUGAUAGCUCAAGUGAACGGAGGACUGUGGGACAUGACAAGGCCGCUGGAAGACGACUGCCAACUGAACUUGCUAACCUUCGAUAGCAAAGAAGGGCGGGACACUCUAUGGCACUCGAGUGCCCACAUUCUUGGAGAGGCUCUCGAGCGUGUGUACGGCUGCAAACUGUGCAUCGGGCCUUGUACUACGAGAGGGGAAGGUUUCUACUAUGACGCCUACUACGACAACAAUGUCACGCUGAAUGGCUCGCAUUUCGGUCACAUUGAAGACCGGGCUCGAAGAGCGGUCGCCGAAAAGCAGCCAUUCCAACGUAUUGAGGUCUCCAGGGAUGAAGCCCUCGAGUUUUUCGCUGAGAAUAAAUUUAAGGUUGAAAUCAUCAAUGAAUUGCCUGAGCACAAGCCCAUUACGUUACAUAAAUGUGGCCCUUUGGUUGACCUAUGCCGCGGACCGCACAUCCCGAAUACUUCUUUCGUUAAAGCUUUUGCUUGCCUCAAGGCUUCGUCCUCAUAUUGGAGGGGAAAAGCAGACCGUGAGAGCCUGCAGAGAGUAUAUGGGAUUUCUUUCCCUGAUGCUAAACUUCUCAAGGAAUAUCAACGUAUGAUGGAGGAGGCUGCGAGGCGUGAUCACAGGUUAUUGGGGGAGUCCCAGAAACUCUUCUUUUUCGAUUCGCUUAGCCCAGGAAGUUGCUUCUUCCUUCCACAUGGUACAAAAAUAGUUAACAAAUUGAAGGCUUUUUUGCGACAACAAUACAGGGACAGAGGCUACCAAGAGGUUGAGAGUCCAAAUGUUCUCAAGAUGAAGCUUUGGGAAACAUCUGGGCAUAGUGCGAACUACAAGGAGAACAUGUUUCUUUUUGAGAUCGAUGGAGAGGAGUUUGGUCUUAAGCCAAUGAAUUGCCCUGGGCAUUGCAUAAUAUUUAAGCACGAGACUCGUUCUUACAAAGAGUUGCCACUGCGCAUUGCUGAUUUUGGAGUUCUUCACAGAAAUGAGGCUAGUGGAGCACUUUCAGGCUUGACACGCGUUAGAAGAUUCCAACAGGAUGAUGCCCAUAUUUUUUGCAGAGAGAGCCAAAUCAAAGAGGAAGUUAAGAGUGUCUUGGAAUUCAUUAAUUAUGUCUACGGCAUAUUUGGAUUUAACUACGAGUUGGAGUUAUCAACGAGACCAGAGAAGUAUUUAGGUGAUAUUGAAACCUGGAACAAAGCAGAACAACAACUGGCAGAAGCCUUGGAUGAGUUUGGGAAGCCAUGGGAGAUUAAUGAAGGAGAUGGUGCUUUCUAUGGCCCAAAAAUUGAUAUCGGUGUGUUUGAUGCCCUCAAAAGAAAAUUUCAGUGUGCAACACUUCAGCUGGAUUUUGCGCUGCCUGUUCGCUUCAAGCUGACUUAUGCAGCAGAGGAGGAAGCCAAGCUUGAGAGGCCUGUAAUCAUACAUAGGGCAAUACUAGGAUCGGUUGAAAGGAUGUUUGCCAUUCUUUUGGAGCAUUACUGUGGUAAAUGGCCGUUAUGGCUCAGCCCUCGUCAAGCCAUUGUUUGCUCUAUAUCGUCCGAUUCACUAGAAUAUGCAAAACAGGUUCAUGCUAAGAUACAUAACGCUGGAUAUGAUGUUGAAAUCGACAUGACUGAUAAGAAAAUCCAGAAGAAGGUAUGCGUGGCACAGUUAGCCCAGUUCAACUAUAUUCUUGCCGUGGGCCCAACAGAGGUGGAAUCUGAAAUGGUCAGCGUCAGGUUGAGAGAUAAGCCAGAAUUCUUCCCGAUGAGCGUCGAUGAUCUCAUCUCUCUGUUUAGGGACGAAGUAGCGGCCUACAGAUAG
rnacentral:rRNA from 1 species